UAUAUAUAUAUAUAUUGAAUUUUAAAAAAAAAUUCUUUCUUCUUCAAUGUGUUUUUUCAUAGUGAAAAACUAACCUGAUCUUUAAAAUCAAAUUCAACUUAUCAAUAAGAUUUCAACCAUUAAUUUAAAUUAACAUAAAUGAAUAUAAUAUUAUGUUUACCUUAUUUUCUUUUAUAGUAUCACUAUCCUAUUUUAUCUAUUUUUCUUUAAUGAUUAUUAUGUAUGAAUAAUUUUUUAUAGAAAGUUUUCGAUUUAAGAAAGAAUAGAACAAACUAUAUAUAUUUCUAAGAGAGAACCAUUUCCCUACAAAUCAAAUAUAAGUAAGGGUUCGAUGAUUUUGGAAGUUUCUAUUUUGUCCUUAAUAUUUAUGUGUCACCCAACCAAUCUUCUUUUCUUUGUCAAAACUCUCUCUCUCUUAUUACAUUCACUCGUCUUCUAUUUUUUUUCCUUAUGUUUCCAACUUUUUUCUCUUUCACUUCAUUUUUUUCUUCAAUCGAAAUUUCUCUCUUAUAUCAAACUCUCUGUCUUUCUCUUUCUCAUCACCACUUUUUCCACGGUCAUUUCAACUUCUUUUUCAACUUUUUUCCUUCUGAUUUGUCAUACGGUUGUGUUUUGCAGAUCCAUUCAAAAUUGUUCAUUUUCAUCAAGAAAAUAAUAAAGAAUAAGAAUAGGUCUAAUAAAAGUUGUUUAUCUUUAUCAAGAAAAAAAUAAAGAACAAGAGUAGGUGAAGGAUUUUGUCUUGAUUUCAACCAUUUUGUCUUGAUUUUUCAUGAUUUCUACUUUACUUAUUUGAUCCUGUAUUUUUUUUUAUUUGAAAAAUUUGUGUUUGACAUUUUUUUUUUGAAUUUUGAUGAUUGUCGGUGAAGGAUUUCUAGGUUGAAAAGAAGGUUGGUGAUAUUCUAGAAGAUAAGAAGAAUGCAAUGAAGAUUAUGGAUAAAUAAGUUUAAGUUUUUUGUGAAGUUAGGACUUGAAGUUGAAGAUAUACUCCAUUUAAAAAUAUACUCUAUUCUAUUUUUAAUUUUAUCAACCAUUCUCUUGAUUUUUCAUGAUUUCGACUUUACUAAUUUGAUCCUGUAAUAAUAUUUUUUUUAAGUUGAAAAAUUUGUAUUUGACAUUCUUUUUGAAUUUUGAUGAUUGUCAAUUUCUAGGUCGAAAAGAAGGUUGAUGAUCUUCUUGAAGAUAAGAAGAAUGCAAUGAAGAUUCUGGAUAAAUGAGUUUAAGUUUUUUUGUAAAGUUAGGACUUGAAGUUGAAGAUAUACUCCAUUUAAAAAUAUACUCCAUUCUAUUUUUAAUUUUAUCAACCAUUCUCUUGAUUUUUCAUGAUUUCGACUUUACUUAUUUGAUCCUGUAAUAAUAUUUUUUUUAAGUUGAAAAAUCUGUAUUUGACUUUUUUUUUUAAAUUUUGAUGAUUGUCGAUUUCUAGGUCGAAAAGAAGGUUGGUGACGUUCUUGAAGAUAAGAAGAAUGCAAUGAAGAUUCUGGAUAAAUGAGUUUAAGUUUUUUUUAAAGUUAGGACUUGAAGUUGAAGAUAUACUCCAUUUAAAAAUAUACUCCAUUCUAUUUUUAAUUUUAUCAACCAUUGCCUUGAUUUUUUAUGAUUUCGACUCUACUUAUUUGAUCCUGUAAUAUUUUUUAAAAAAAAUUGAAGACUAUGUGUUUGACAUUUUUUUUGAAUUUUGAUGAUUGUCGGUGAAGGAUUUCUAGGUCGAAAAGAAGGUUGGUGACGUUCUUGAAGAUAAGAAGAAUGCAAUGAAGAUUUUUUAUAAGUUUAGGUUUUUUGAGUGAAGAAUAAAUGUUGAAACAUUGAAGAGAGAGAAAAUAAAAAGAAUAAUAAAGAUUUUAUUGUA